AUUUUAUUCUUAAUAGCUUAUUAUGUAGAAAAACAAAGCUUUUUGGUCUGUUUUGAAAGUGUGUCCCCUACCCUUGGUUUAUCUAUUUCUAACGUGCUAAAGUAAAACCUCUGAGAACAAAAUCUGCUAAGUCAGGCAGAAGACACUCUGGUUAAGCAAGUGCUGCCUCUGCAGGACUGGUGAGCUGAAUGGAAGUGUGGAGGGCUGAUGCUUCCAGUAGCCUGACUGACUCAGGGGACGGGCAAGUGGAUAUGAAGCUCACUGCAGGACUUUUACAUGUCUGCUUUCAUGGCAGCUGGACUUGUAGAGAAGAGGUGAAAAUGUUCCUACACAGGAUGCCUGCAACAACUGAUUAGGAAGAUACUGCCCUCAGGCAUGGGCGAUCACCUCCCAGCAGAGCAGAAGCCAGACAAAAGGCUUCCCCCUUCCUGAGUGACUGCUCUACACUGGUCUGUUUGGUAAGGGGUAAGUGACACCUCCUUCUCUGAACUUUUAGCUGCCCCUCUUCAGAAGAGGGCUAGGCAGCCAGAUGGAGACACAUGCCUCAUUUCACUUUUGGGAUACUAUUCUG
rnacentral:lncRNA from 1 species